rnacentral:rRNA from 1 species
UACGUAGGGUGCGAGCGUUGUCCGGAUUUACUGGGCGUAAAGAGCGCGCAGGCGGUCGUGCAAGUCGCGUGUGAAAGCCCCCGGCUCAACUGGGGAGGGUCACGCGAUACUGCUCGACUCGAAGGCAGGAGAGGGUAGUGGAAUUCCCGGUGUAGUGGUGAAAUGCGUAGAUAUCGGGAGGAACACCAGUGGCGAAGGCGACUACCUGGCCUGUUCUUGACGCUGAGGCGCGAAAGCUAGGGGAGCAAACGGG